rnacentral:lncRNA from 1 species
GACAGCAUGCUUUGUGAAAGUGGGAGCUCAUGGAGGUGGCACGGUGCAUGGAAGGACAGAGUGGCUGACAGUGAGCUGCCCAAGCAAGCUGCUGGCUCUUGUGACUGUCUCUGAAAGUCUCUGGAUGGGCUAUAUUGCAGAUGUGCCUGGACAUUUAUAAAUGGUGCUGCUAUCCAGCUCUACGUCACAGCCAUGAAGUGGCCAUGGGGUGAACCAUGGACAACUGCUGUCAUAAGUACUCGAAUCGGCAGAGCCACCUACUAGCUGUGAAGCCCAGUUGCCAGGCAGCAGAUACUCGACCAGCAAACAGCCUUUGUCACUCUAGU